rnacentral:rRNA from 1 species
UGGGGAAUAUUGGACAAUGGGCGCAAGCCUGAUCCAGCCAUGCCGCGUGAGUGAUGAAGGCCCUAGGGUUGUAAAGCUCUUUCACCGGUGAAGAUAAUGACGGUAACCGGAGAAGAAGCCCCGGCUAACUUCGUGCCAGCAGCCGCGGUAAUACGAAGGGGGCUAGCGUUGUUCGGAUUUACUGGGCGUAAAGCGCACGUAGGCGGACUUUUAAGUCAGGGGUGAAAUCCCGGGGGUCAACCCCGGAACUGCCUUUGAUACUGGAAGUCUUGAGUAUGGUAGAGGUGAGUGGAAUUCCGAGUGUAGAGGUGAAAUUCGUAGAUAUUCGGAGGAACACCAGUGGCGAAGGCGGCUCACUGGACCAUUACUGACGCUGAGGUGCGAAAGCGUGGGGAGCAAACAGG